ensembl:lncRNA
UUUUUUUAUUUGCUUGAUUUUUGUUUUCACAUGUGGCUGUUGUGAAACGUAGGGAAGGAUGAAAACUGAAGGAUGAAGAAAGAUGAUACAGAAGACUUCUUGAACAGCUUGAAACAAAAUAAAGCCCUAUCUUCAAACAUUUAGACAAGACCUGUUUAAAUGCUGCUGGUGUCCUCAGCCUUACUCUGUGGUCUUCAGCUUCACUCCCUUAAACUGCUGAGUUCAGAAAAUCUGUGAAGGGGACUAAGCUACUAUAUAGCCUUUCCUGCUGCUCAGUAAAGUGGUGUUCCUUGUCUUUUGUCUAGACACAGGAAUAGCUCAAGAGACUAAAUGGAAGCUGACUCAGAGAUUUGAACUGGAAUUGUCAGCCUUGGCAUUUCAUAAAGUAAGUGCAAUAUUACAUAUUCUUCUACCAUAU